UACGAAGGGGGCUAGCGUUGCUCGGAAUCACUGGGCGUAAAGGGUGCGUAGGCGGGGCUUUAAGUCAGGGGUGAAAUCCUGGAGCUCAACUCCAGAACUGCCCUUGAUACUGGCGGUCUCGAGUCCGGGAGAGGUGAGUGGAACUGCGAGUGUAGAGGUGAAAUUCGUAGAUAUUCGCAAGAACACCAGUGGCGAAGGCGGCUCACUGGCCCGGUACUGACGCUGAGGUGCGAAAGCGUGGGGAGCAAACAGG
rnacentral:rRNA from 1 species